rnacentral:sRNA from 1 species
GCCUUUUAGGAACUCACUGGUUUCGGGUUCCGUCAGAACUCCGAAGUUAAGCGAGUUCAGGCAAGAAUGGUCCCAUAAUAGGUGACCUACUGGGAAGUUCUCGUAUGAGUCCAAAGCGGACAAUAUAGUGCUACGGCCGAGUCGAGACUGAGAUGUGAUAGAAUGGUAUCAGAGCCACUCUACAAUUCGGUACGGAUGUGCUGACGAGAACGUUGGGUUCCCCUGAAGUGGGGUGGAUUGUAAGAUCUCACAUCAACCAACGAAGAGAGGGUGAUGUGGAUUGUAAGAUCUCACAUCAACAUAUGGAUAGGAGGUGAUAUGUCUUAUAUGUACAUGCUCCCCUCCCUAUAGCACAAGGCAUUUUGGAAACUCACUGGUUUCGGAUUCUAUCGGAACUCCGAAGUUAAGCGAGUUCGAACGAGAGCAUUCACAGGAUGGGUGAUCCACUGGGAAGUUCUCGUGUGAGUUUUC